GGUGAUGCUGGACAAUGGGGACCGAGCUGCUCUGCAGGUCCCAGGGCAGAACAGUCAUUCUGGAGCAACCCUUUGUGUCCCAGACACAUCCGUAGGAGCAAAGUUACAUCUCUCCACACCAAAACAUACUGACUCUGUAGCUGCUUGCUUACAAACCCAUGCAUCAUCCUUUUGUAUUAACUAUUACUCCCCAAGAAGUGCCUUCUGGAUGUUGCCUUCAUUAGCAGCACCGUGGUCCCCGUCAUGCACUUUCAGUCUUGAACAAACCUUUCCAGACAAACCUGAACACAGGGUCCUCCUAAUGUGCUGGUUUUUACAUGUUAUUUGCAUGAAUGUGCAAUGAGCGUUGAUUAAGUCGAGAACUUUUCCCACAGUUUUCCCCCUGUUUUCCCAUCAUGUCUAACUACUUUAGGUCCAACCUUGGCAUCCUCCUCUCUUUCUAACCUUAAGCGAGCCAUUGAUCAGAGAUGAUGCACAGCAGAGCAAGGGGAAGAAAAGGGGUUUGCCAACAGCCACAUCUCACCCAGGAGCCAGCCUCUGCUGAAGCAAAUUAACCAGGUGACAAAGCAAAGAAAUCAUGUAGCCUGGCUUAAAACUGUAAUAAACAUCCCUCUUUCCUUUCUGGGAAGGCUUGGAAGAAAACUUGGGCAGGGACUCCUAUCUUGACAACCUUAUUAAACCAAGAUGCAGCCCCAGAGGAUGCAAGAGUAAGCUGUUUCCAUGCUGAUGUUCCCAAUCUGAACACAACAUCUGCAGCUCAGCUGGAUGCAUGUGAGGCAGUCUUCAACACUGAAACACUCUCCAGAACAUGCCAGGAGAAGGAUUAAUACUGACGCCUGCAAUCCUGCAGCACUUUGCCUAUCAGGGGAAAGAUCUUGUUGGGUUUUAGUUCCAGAGUUGUGGCUUUUCUUUCUCUCCCACAGCUCUUUGGCUGUCAACUGCAAUCUGAUAGAAAGCCUGGUCCUCAGAGGUUUGCUCGUGUUUUCCUUCAUUUAUGAGAUACUGGCAAAGCAAAGGGGAGCCCUCCUGGUCCCUCUUCUUUUACCACUUUUAGAAGUGGUAAAUGCUCCAUCCCUGGCAGUGUUCAAGGCCAGGUUGGACAGAGUCUUGGGUGACAUGGUCUAGUGUGAGGCAUCCCUGCCCAUGGCAGGGGGUUGGAACUGGAUGAUCUUAAGGUCCUUUCCAACCCAAACCAGUCUGUGAUUCUAUGAUUCCACGAUUAUGCAGGCUAGGAGAAAACGUGGGAAGGCAACACAAUGUGACUCAAUGCUACAUGUGAAGCCUUCAACUUGCUUAUGGAAGGUCCUGCAGUGGAGGUGUCUGGUCCAUGUCUGGCAUGCUCUUUCAUGGGGAUGGGAAGGAUGGGGGUCCUGCUUGGGCUCAUUUAUACCUGGUCUCUAAACCCAGCCUUGCAUCAAGGCAACCUUCAACCUUCAAUGUCUGAAACUGAUUUAGGGAGGCCCAUGUAAAAAUGAUGCAGAUAUAAAACCCAUCCCACAACCCUCCUUGGGAGUGAUGGGAGAAGCUCAGGCUUCAUCCUCGCUCCCCCAAAAGUCUUUGCAAAUGGAAAUUCUAUUACCCAAAGCAGCUGCCUCCAAGGAUGGUUGAAACCUACUGAGCCCAUAAAAGAGCCAACACCUUGCUUUGGGUACUGAAAUCCCUCUCCCACAUUUUCAUCUAUCUCCUCUUCUUCGGGGACCUUAGGGUGGGAUUUUAACCCUUUCUUUCAGCGCUGGGGCUUUUUGCUCCUCUCCUGGCUCUUUGCAAUGCUCAACCAGCCUUCACAGUCACAAGAAACAUUGAUUUUCUUAAAAAGGCAAUGGGACUGCUCACAAGCAUGGAUCUGGAAGGGAACAGCAAUCACCUGCAGUGCAGGAUGGGGGCAAUUUGGGAGGAAAAGGGUGUUUUUAGUGGAUCUUGCCUUUUUAAGAGAAUUCUUUUUCUGCUGGCAGAAAAUGUAGGUGUUUCAAGGAAGUUGUUUAAUUUUGGAAGUCUGUACAUAGAUGAACUGUUACAGGGAUCACAAACUGUCAAAGGUACUGUCUUUGUGCCACUGUGGUAAGUUUAAAUCCCAAUGUGACAAUCCAGUUGAAGACUGCAAGUGUUCCUCAUGUAAUCUCACAUUAGCUGCUAAGCAAGCCUUGGCAGAAGCUGGCAAGUCCCAUUGCUGUGUUAGUGUGUUGGGUUUAUUUUAAAGACCUUCUGCAGCAUUGUAAGGCUUCGUGAUUUAUCAUGAUAUAAUAAAGUGAUUUGGAGGAGAAUAAA
rnacentral:lncRNA from 1 species